rnacentral:rRNA from 1 species
GUCCUGGCAGUAAACGGUGCGCGUUUGGUGUGGGGGGAUUCGACCCCUUCCGUGCCGAAGCUAACGCGAUAAACGCGCCGCCUGGGGAGUACGGUCGCAAGAUUAAAACUCAAAGAAAUUGACGGGGGCCCGCACAAGCGGUGGAGUAUGUGGCUUAAUUCGAUGCAACGCGAAGAACCUUACCUGGGCUUGACAUGCAUCUCUAAAGUAGUGAAAGCUAUCGAGUGUAGCAAUACACAAUUUGCACAGGUGCUGCAUGGCUGUCGU